UACGUAGGGUCCGAGCGUUGUCCGGAGUUACUGGGCGUAAAGCGUGCGCAGGCGGUUUUGUAAGUCUGUCGUGAAAGCCCCGGGCUCAACCUGGGAAUUGCGAUGGAGACUGCAAGGCUUGAAUCUGGCAGAGGGGGGUAGAAUUCCACGUGUAGCAGUGAAAUGCGUAGAGAUGUGGAGGAACACCGAUGGCGAAGGCAGCCCCCCUGGGGUCAAGAUUGACGCUCAUGCACGAAAAGCGUGGGGGAGCAAACAGG
rnacentral:rRNA from 1 species